rnacentral:misc_RNA from 1 species
UUUUUUUUUUUUUUUUUUUUUCUGGUUUCUUUAUAACAAGUAAAAUAUGAAUUCUAAUGAGAUUGAAGUAGGGUUUCCUGCAAGGUAUAUACACCAGAUUCUGAUAUGCUCCAUCUAUCUAUGAGCAAAAUGCACCCACAACAUGAUGGUCAGGGAUUUACCAAUAAUGUCAACCAAAAUAUGUCACUCAAGGCAAGAGAAUAGUUCAUUUUUCUAUAUUCUAUAAAAGACUGCAAACGUGUAAACCAAAACAGUAAGCAAAAUGGUAAAACAAAUUUUCAUCCAACAAUCAGUUUAGGUGAUAUAUUAAAUAAUAAUGGAGAAAGAUAAGAUGAACAUAAGAUUACCACUAUAUUAAAAAAUUAUAGCGUGGAGAAUUUGUCACAUAAAAUAGCAAGUUCAACAAUCAACAGAGAAUAAAAGAGACACCUGUCUUUGUGAUAGAUGUUGUAUCAAGGAAAAAAAUUGUGGGGCCUUCCCAAUAAAUUAUCCCAUUCACUCACCAAAUAUAUGCUCAUGCAUGUUCCAAAUAAUUGUGGGCAAUGAUGGAUCCUCCAAAAGUUAACUUUUAAGGUUGCUGUUUUGCAGAUCUUUUCAUAUAAAUUCUUCCUCUAGCAUCAAUUCUGCUCAUCUCCGCAAGAAUCCCAUUGCCUGGUAUGCAUUAUUGAGAGUGGCAUCUGCUAUCUCUGCAGCUUUAGUGGCACCUUCUUCCAACACUCUAUCCAAAUAAGCUGAAUCAGAUAUUAUUUCCCCAUAACGAACCUGAAAAUAUAGAUGAAAGGAUGGGGAACAAUUGGUAAGUAAUGCUUAACAACAACGGAUACAAAUUGGCAAUCUUUUCAACCGAAAAAUAGCAAUAACCAGGGGUGUCAGCAAAAUGGGGGAACCCAUGAAAUGAUUGAGCAUAAAACAAUAUCACACAGCAAUCACAAGCAAAGUAUCUACACAUACGCAGAGAUAGAAUAAUAUAUAAACAUAGGCAUAAUGCAUCAUAGGAACAUCUUAGCCAGAAGUUGGUUAAAAUGGUGUGCUUGCAUCAUGCCAGUAUGUGCACAAACACAUUACCUUAGCUGAUGGAGCCAGCAUGAAAAAAAACUAACACACAAAUUCAAGAGAAUGAAAAAACUAACUCGGUAAUUUUCAUUUUGUAUAUUGCACAAUGGUGUUUAGGAAGUUCUAACAAAGCCACAACUCAUUUUAAUGAAUUACAAUUAUGGUGAUACACUUAAACAAAUACAUUACACAAGGAUAGCUCAUUCAGAUACCAAGAGUCCCAAAAGAAGAAGAAGAAGAUUAUCAGACAAAAUGAAAGGCACAUGUAGUUAAGUAUGCCAUGUAUACUGCCACCCAUCCCUAGUGAAGUAGAAUGCAUGUGCACCAGUAGAACCUGGAUGGGAUGUAGAUGAUCAAUCAAGGCAUCUGUUAGGAGGGGUUUAAACAUGCCCCAAUUCAUAUCUUGACAUUCCUGCUUAACUUCCUGCAACGGGAAAGUAUUUACCAGUGUAACAUUCACUGUGGGAUACCUUAAAGCAGAUGAGAUAUAAGUAAGUCAAGCAAAAGCAAAGUAGAAACAGAUUCCAUUACCUCUUUCGUCUUGCCUGAGAUAAGUUGAUAUACUGAAAGAAGAUUGUUGCACUCAGGUCUUUCAGGGUUGUCAAAUUCAAGGCUGUAAAAAUUACAAGGAGAGAAUCACACUAGACAUUGUAACAUGCUAUCAACCGAAGAAUGAGAAAAGCAUUCUAAUUUGCAAGAUAGAUCAAUAACUAACCCUGAAAAUGAAUCAGUUUUGCAUCGUUUUAUCUUAUUUGCUAUCACCUACACAGUGAUGAAUAAUAAUAAUAAUAAUAA